GACGAACGCUGGCGGCGUGCUUAACACAUGCAAGUCGAACGGUGAAGCGCCUUCCUUUUUGGUGGGUGUGGAUGAGUGGCGAACGGGUGAGUAACACGUGAGUAACCUGCCCCCUUCUUCUGGAUAACCGCAUGAAAGUGUGGCUAAUACGGGAUAUUCUGGGUCUGUCGCAUGAUGGGUCUGGGAAAGAUAUUGUUUCGGUGGGGGAUGGGCUCGCGGCCUAUCAGCUUGUUGGUGGGGUGAUGGCCUACCAAGGCGGUGACGGGUAGCCGGCCUGAGAGGGUGGACGGUCACACUGGGACUGCGACACGGCCCAGACUCCUGCGGGAGGCAGCAGUGGAGAAUAUUGCACAAUGGGAGCAAGCCUGAUGCAGCGACGCCGCGUGAGGGAUGGAGGCCUUCGGGUUGUGAACCUCUUUCGCCAGUGAAGCAGGCCUGCCUCGUUUGUGGGUGGGUUGACGGUAGCUGGACAAGAAGCGCCGGCUAACUACGUG
rnacentral:rRNA from 1 species